GAUCAUGGCUCAGAACGAACGCUGGCGGCGCGUUUAAGCAUGCAAGCGAGCGGCAAGGGCCUCGGGCCCUAGAGCGGCGGACGGGUGAGUAACACGUGGACAAUCUGCCCCCCGGCCCGGGAUAGCCCAGGGAAACCUGGAUUAAUACCGGAUGAGACGGGACCCGCGAAGGCGGGACCCGGGAAAGGCGCUGCGGCGCCGCCGGGGGAUGAGUCUGCGUCCCAUUAGCUAGACGGCGGGGUAACGGCCCACCGUGGCGACGAUGGGUAGCCGGCCUGAGAGGGUGGACGGCCACAUUGGAACUGAGACACGGUCCAGACUCCUACGGGAGGCAGCAGUAGGGAAUCUUCCGCAAUGGACGAAAGUCUGACGGAGCAACGCCGCGUGAGUGAAAGAAGGUUUUCGGAUCGUAAAACUCUGUUGUCAGAGAAGAACAAGUUGGAGAGUAACUGCUCCAGCCUUGACGGUAUCUGACCAGAAAGCCACGGCUAACUACGUGCCAGCCGCCGC
rnacentral:rRNA from 1 species